rnacentral:lncRNA from 1 species
AGAAAAGAAAAAAAUAAAAAUAAAAAAGAAACUGUAGGACACAAAGAAGUCUUAAAAACCCAGCCUGGCAGUGCAUCCUUGCAUUCUUGGCUACUUUGAAGGGUGAGGUGGAAGGAUUGCUUGAACCCAAAAGAUGGGCAGGGGAGGUUUGGUUUCAAAAAAACGCUGUUAUUCUUCCCUUGAAAGCAGUUAUAGUGCAUUUUCUUUAAAGAAAAUAUUUCUUGUCACCAUGCUCCUGAUAUGGUUGUGCGGAGAAUCCUUUAUGGGUCUGUCCACUGGGUGAUCUAGCUUGUCAGUUGUUUCUUCUUUCUUCCUCUUUCUCCUCUUUGUCCUCCUCUUUCUCUCUGCUCCUCUGCCUCUUCUGCCUCCUUCUCCUCCUUUUGGUUUUUUGAGAUUCUCUGUGUAACUCUGGCUGUCCUAGAACUCGCUCUAUAGACCAAGCUAGCCUCCAACUCAGCUCCUCCUGCUUCUGCCUCCCGAAUGCUGGGAUUGAAGACACCAUUGCCACCACCCAGCUGCUUAUCAGUUCUUAACUACAAGGUGUCCAGUUUAAAUAAAUCUCUGAAUGUGCCUGAGAAACCACAUAAUCAAUAAAUGUUAAUUUAGUCUAAACUCAGAUCCAAUUGUGUGCUGUGCCUGGGAUUUAGAAGAAACCCAGUGGACGUAGGUAGUAAGGUGGCAGGGUUGUUUGGGUGGUGUUUGAGAAGAAUUCUAUACUACUGGAUGAGUAGUUGUUAUGGUUCAGUGACGUUAAGAGUUGGGGGAAUGGGAAAGGACACAGUGUCCUUUGUGUAUUUAUUGUUGCUUCUUGGCUGAUUUGCACUUGUCAUCUGCAUCUGCCUAAGACAGUGGUUCUGAAUCUAUGGGUCGUGACUCUGUGGGUAUCAAACAGUCCUUUCACAGGGGUCAUGUAAGACCAUUGGAAAACACAGAUAUUUACAUUUCGAUUUAUAACAGUACCAAAAUUAGUUAUGAAGUAGCAAUAAACAUAAUUUUAUGGUUGGGGGGGUCACUACACAUGAGGUACUACAUUAAAAGCUCACAGCAUUAGGAAGGUUGAGAACCACUGCUCUAGGAGGUAGCCUAGGAAUAGCCCUUCUAGCAGAGGAAGCAGCAAGAAUUUCUAAUAAUAACAAAGCAGGCCUUCAUAUCCUAAAAUAACAGGAUUAAAGGGAAGGGGGGUCACAGAAGUGGGAGCUUUCCUGGCCUCACUAUGACUAUUCCUCCUUGGAGCUGAUUGUGAUUCAAGAAGUGGCAUUCUUUCUUGUUUUGAAUAUUGGCCAUAAAUAAAGGCACUUUCAGAAAGAAGACAGUGACAUCUACCUCAGAUGUGGCUGUGCUCUGCCUCUGGAGCGAGAAUAAUGGGCAUUGUGUUAGGACUAGCAGGGCGUCCAGGGAGCUUCAUUCCAAAUCUCAUGGACUCAUUUAUUCAGCGGGUAUGUACAGGCAGAUGGUUCAGAGACGUGCAAGGUACAGUGGGUGGGGCUGGAGUAGACUGAAGGAGGUUUAGGAUAUAGGGCUGAACAUUUUCUCUCAAAACUUUGCCAUCAGAUGAGGUGAGGUUUUUUUGUUUGUGUUUUGUUUUGUUUUGUUUUUGUUAACCACAGAAUUAAAAUACUGGUCAAGGUUGAAAGGAAAUGUUUUAAAUUUUCAGAGUUGGAGAAAUGGCUCUGUAGUUAAGAGCACUGACUACUCUUCCAGAGAAUGUGUGCUCAAUUCCCAGCAGCUGUGGUAAUCCCAGUUCCAUGGCAUCUGACACCUCUUCUUGCUUCCUCAGGCACUGAAUGAAUGCAGUGCACAGACAUAGAUGCAAAAUCCUGUGCACACUUAAAAAAAAAAAAAAAAAAAAAAGCAGCUGACAUGCUGCUCAGCAGGUAAAGGCAUUUGACUUUAAAGUGUAAUCCCCAGGACACACGU